rnacentral:tRNA from 1 species
GAAGGUAUAGUUUAAGCGGUAGAGCGCAUGCUUAGCAUGUAUGAGGUCCUGGGUUCAAUCCCCAGUACCUCCA